AUUGAACGCUGGCGGCAUGCCUUACACAUGCAAGUCGAACGGCAGCACGGGAGCUUGCUCCUGGUGGCGAGUGGCGAACGGGUGAGUAAUACAUCGGAACGUACCCAGGAGUGGGGGAUAACGUAGCGAAAGUUACGCUAAUACCGCAUAUUCUGUGAGCAGGAAAGCGGGGGAUCGCAAGACCUCGCGCUCUUGGAGCGGCCGAUGUCGGAUUAGCUAGUUGGUGAGGUAAAAGCUCACCAAGGCGACGAUCCGUAGCAGGUCUGAGAGGAUGAUCUGCCACACUGGGACUGAGACACGGCCCAGACUCCUACGGGAGGCAGCAGUGGGGAAUUUUGGACAAUGGGGGCAACCCUGAUCCAGCCAUGCCGCGUGAGUGAAGAAGGCCUUCGGGUUGUAAAGCUCUUUCGGCGGGGAAGAAAUGGCAACGGCUAAUAUCCGUUGUUGAUGACGGUACCCGCAUAAGAAGCACCGGCUAACUACGUGCCAGCCGCCGCGGUAAAAC
rnacentral:rRNA from 1 species